rnacentral:rRNA from 1 species
UUGAUCAUGGCUCAGGACGAACGCUGGCGGCGUGCCUAAUACAUGCAAGUCGUACGCUUCUUUUUCCACCGGAGCUUGCUCCACCGGAAAAAGAGGAGUGGCGAACGGGUGAGUAACACGUGGGUAACCUGCCCAUCAGAAGGGGAUAACACUUGGAAACAGGUGCUAAUACCGUAUAACAAUCGAAACCGCAUGGUUUUGAUUUGAAAGGCGCUUUCGGGUGUCGCUGAUGGAUGGACCCGCGGUGCAUUAGCUAGUUGGUGAGGUAACGGCUCACCAAGGCCACGAUGCAUAGCCGACCUGAGAGGGUGAUCGGCCACAUUGGGACUGAGACACGGCCCAAACUCCUACGGGAGGCAGCAGUAGGGAAUCUUCGGCAAUGGACGAAAGUCUGACCGAGCAACGCCGCGUGAGUGAAGAAGGUUUUCGGAUCGUAAAACUCUGUUGUUAGAGAAGAACAAGGAUGAGAGUAACUGUUCAUCCCUUGACGGUAUCUAACCAGAAAGCCACGGCUAACUACGUGCCAGCAGCCGCGGUAAUACGUAGGUGGCAAGCGUUGUCCGGAUUUAUUGGGCGUAAAGCGAGCGCAGGCGGUUUCUUAAGUCUGAUGUGAAAGCCCCCGGCUCAACCGGGGAGGGUCAUUGGAAACUGGGAGACUUGAGUGCAGAAGAGGAGAGUGGAAUUCCAUGUGUAGCGGUGAAAUGCGUAGAUAUAUGGAGGAACACCAGUGGCGAAGGCGGCUCUCUGGUCUGUAACUGACGCUGAGGCUCGAAAGCGUG